UACGGAGGAUGCAAGCGUUAUCCGGAUUCAUUGGGUUUAAAGGGUUCGCAGGCGGCGCAUUAAGUCAGUGGUGAAAUCUCUCGGCUCAACCGAGAAACUGCCAUUGAUACUGGUGUGCUAGAGUAUAGUUGGCGUAGGCGGAAUGUAUCAUGUAGCGGUGAAAUGCUUAGAUAUGAUACAGAACACCGAUCGCGAAGGCAGCUUACGAAACUAUAACUGACGCUCAGGAACGAAAGCGUGGGGAGCGAACAGG
rnacentral:rRNA from 1 species